rnacentral:rRNA from 1 species
AUUGAACGCUGGCGGCAGGCCUAACACAUGCAAGUCGAGCGAGCGGCGGACGGGUGAGUAAUGCCUGGGAAUCCCCCAGUCGAGGGGGAUAACAGUUGGAAACGACUGCUAAUACCGCAUACGACUGGCUUGCCCAGUUGGGAUUAGCUAGUUGGUGGGGUAAUGGCUCACCAAGGCGACGCCCCCUAGCUGGUCUGAGAGGAGGAUCAGCCACACUGGAACUGAGAAACGGUACAGACUCCUACGGGAGGCAGCAGUGGGGAAUAUUGCACAAUGGGAGAAAGCCUGAUGCAGCCAUGCCGCGUGUAUGAAGAAGGCCUUCGGGUUGUAAAGCACUUUCAGCGGGGAGGCGUUACUCGCAGAAGAAGCACCGGCUAACUCCGUGCCAGCAGCCGCGGUAAUUC